GAUGGCUUUAGUCUGAGCCACAGCAGCCUGCCCCUCGGUCUGCCUUUUGCAUCUCAGGAAAAGCCCCACCCUCCCGUCCACCAGGGGCACUGGUUUCUGCACCAGCUGCCUUCCCAUCUCCAGUAAUGGCCUUUGCUUUGGAGGAGCCCACCCCUGUUGGAUGCAGAUGAAGAUGCCAAGGGGAGCCUGAUCGACUGUGGAGCCAUCAUGGAGGGAGGCAGAGCUGAGGGCUGGGGGAGGUCCAGGCUGCAUCAUAUGAGCCCCUGGAUCCAGCCACACCUGAAGUAGAAAUGGGGUUUCAUUAUGUUGACCAGGCUGGUCAUGAACUCCUGACCUCGUGAUCUGCCCACCUCGGCCUCCCAAAGUGCUGGGAUUACAGCCCAACUUCAGUCUUAUCAGCCUGGGAAAAUGUGGAGAGAAAUGAGGGGCUGUGGAGAGCCAGGUUCUGAGGCUGCGCCCGCUGCACCCCUCCCACCACAUAGGUGAGCCGAUGUUUAGGAAACGCUACUUCCAUCAAAGCCUUUGGUAACAUCCUCGUGCCCGCGGCACCCACGACCGGAGACCCGUCCCCAGAGUUUCUGUCUGCUCUGAUGAGCCCCCAGCUGCUCUCCCCCGACACCCCUGUGCUCAGCAAGACCCCAGCUCCUCUCUGAUAUUGGAUCCCGUCCCGCCUCCCCAGCUGCGCUCACCCCUGAAGCAGGAGCUUCGGAAUGUCCUGGGUUUCUUGUCUCCUCACAGAGCCCCAGGGUCCCUGAUAAAUGUCUGGCACCGGUGGUGCACCCGGUAACUGUUCACCCACUCCCAUAAAUACGCCGUUUACUGCUGAAUUAUAAAGGGUGUGGGAACAGAAGAGAGGUUUCAAAUCACUUCUCAUUCUUACGGUUUGAAUACAUUACACAGUGAUCUAAUUAGGCUUGUAUUUC